rnacentral:misc_RNA from 1 species
ACAGGAACUGGUGUGUUUUAAACAGGAAGAGGCAAAACCUCGUCUGUAGUUCCUCGACUGCUGCUACCAAACUGUAAUAAUAUUCAUAAGAAGAUAAAGACAACAGUUGGAAGACAUAAAGACUCCUCCUCCUCCUGCUCCUCUGCUGCUGCUGCUGCUGCUGCCACCACCACCACCAUCAUCAUCAUCAGCAACAACAGCAUUGAGUAAGAAGGAAAUUAAAAAAAAAACGGUGCAGAACAGAGAGAGAGAGAGAGAGAGAGAGAGAGAGAGAAGAAGAAACAAACAAACACCAGCGGGAACUAAUAACAAUUAUUAUUAUAUAUAUAUCAGAGGCAGAGCAAGCAAGCAAGAAGGAAUUGAAAUACAUUUAAACCCCGACAUGUCAAGUGAAAGUGUCGAGACCAUCUUCCUGUUCGUACCGAACCUCAUAGAUUAUGGACGAGUUGUGUUUGCCUUUGCUGCGUUUUACUUCAUGCAAACAAACUAUCAGCUAGCAGCUUUCCUUUAUCUCCUCAGUGGAUUUUUGGAUUCAUUCGAUGGACAUGCUGCUCGAGUUUUGAAUCAAGGUAGCAAACUUGGCGCCAUGCUCGACCAACUGAUAGACCGAUUUACAACAAUGUGUCUUAUGGCAGCAUUGUGUUUCUUCUACCCAAAAUACAUGCUAUUUUUCCAGUUCAGCAUGACAGUUGACAUUGUCAGUCACUGGUUUCACUUACAAAGUUCGCUUAUGAAAGGUGCUGGUAGCCAUAAAGUUCUUGAUUUGUCAGCAAAUCCAAUUCUGCGCCAUUAUUAUCACAAUAAAAUCAUUCUCUUUCUGAUGUGUUCAGGCAAUGAACUUUUCUACUGCUUGUUGUACGUCAGAUAUUUCACAUCUGGACCAGCAGUAUUUGGAAGUAUUGGACUCGUGACUGCAUUGCUUUAUCCUUGUGGAUUGGUUGCUUUCCUGAAGACCAUUAUAAGCAUCCUCCAACUUUACAGUGCAAUGGCCAAUGUUGCUGCUAUUGAUGUUGCAGACCGUGCUGCCCUCAGGACUUCAGAAAAUAAUGCAAAGAAAAUAUCUUAAGCUUCUGGAAACUGAAAUAAAUGUAUAUUGAAUAGGUAUUUUAUGAAAGUUUGAUGCACACUCAAAAGUGUGUAUGUGAGAUAUAUAUAUAUAUAUAUAUAUAUAUAUACACACACAGAU